rnacentral:sRNA from 1 species
GCCAGGUGUGGUGCUGCACACCUGUAAUCCCAGAGUCUUGGGAGGCUGAAACAAGAGAAUUGUGAGUUCAUAAGCCAGCCUCAGCAACUGCAAGGUGCUCAGUGAAACCCUGUCUCUA